rnacentral:rRNA from 1 species
GCAAAACGCGAAGAACCUUACCUACUCUUGACAUCCAGAGAACUUAGCAGAGAUGUUUUGGUGCCUUCGGGAACUCUGAGACAGGUGCUGCAUGGCUGUCGUCAGCUCGUGUUGUGAAAUGUUGGGUUAAGUCCCGCAACGAGCGCAACCCUUAUCCUUUGUUGCCAGCGGUCCGGCCGGGAACUCAAAGGAGACUGCCAGUGAUAAACUGGAGGAAGGUGGGGAUGACGUCAAGUCAUCAUGGCCCUUACGAGUAGGGCUACACACGUGCUACAAUGGCGCAUACAAAGAGAAGCGACCUCGCGAGAGCAAGCGGACCUCAUAAAGUGCGUCGUAGUCCGGAUUGGAGUCUGCAACUCGACUGCGUGAAGUCGGAAUCGCUAGUAAUCGCGAAUCAGAAUGUCGCGGUGAAUACGUUCCCGGGUCUUGUACACACCG